GGAUUUCCUUUUCUGAAAAGUCAACAAUAAUAAAAAAUCAAUGGUGAUGAUACAAUGACAGUGUAUAUACAUAUUUUUAUCAUUAAGUAUUAGCUCCCGGAUUAUGUGAACUCUGUCAGUAGCAGUGGGUGUGGGGUCCGCCGUAAGAUCAGGUCUGAGAACCCCUAAGAAAAAGGCUUAUAAAUUAAAUAACAUUAAAUAACACUCUUUUCUAUAAAUAAAUAAAAGAAAAUAUACAUGUGUCCAGACUAUAGAUCAUACUCUACAUUACAACUAAUCUUUAUUUAAAUUGAAUAUCAAAAGAAUUUUUCAAUACCAAACUAUUUAAAUAAACAAUCAAUAAAUGGUUUAACAAUGUAAGACCUUAUUGAAUUUUUAAGGUUGAAGGUUCGAUUUUUGAAAGUAACACUUAUCGUGAAAAAUAGUAACAAAUCUCAAAAUGGAUUAAUUACUUAUCAAAAAGAUGAAAAAAUUUCUUUGGUAAUACAAAAAAAAACUAUUUAAAUGAAGUGACUUUUAGCCUAAAUAAAGAGCAAAAAGAACCAUUUACUUUUUAGAGAGAAUCUAUAAUAAAAGGACACUCACACACUCUCCCUUAGGUUCUAACCUUCUUUGCCUUUGUGUUCCUCAAAAACAGAGUACACUCUACACCUUUCAGAAAAGCACAGAGAGAGAAAGAGAAUAUGUUGGG
rnacentral:lncRNA from 1 species